CCUACGGGUGGCAGCAGUGAGGAAUAUUGGUCAAUGGGCGCAAGCCUGAACCAGCCAAGUCGCGUGAGGGAAGACGGCUCUAUGGGUUGUAAACCUCUUUUAUACGGGAAUAAAAAGCGUUACGUGUCGCGUGAUGUAUGUACCGAAUGAAUAAGGAUCGGCUAACUCCGUGCCAGCAGCCGCGGUAAUACGGAGGAUCUGAGCGUUAUCCGGAUUUAUUGGGUUUAAAGGGUGCGUAGGCGGCCUGUUAAGUUAGAGGGGAAAGGUUGUGGCUUAACCCUAGAAUUGCCGUUGAAACGGGGAGGCUAGAGUAUGGGUGAGGUAGGCGGAAUACGUGGUGUAGCGGUGAAAUGCUUAGAGAUGACGCAGAACCCCGAUUGCGAAGGCAGCUUGCCAGGCUAUGACUGACGCUGAGGCACGAAAGCGUGGGGAGCAAACAGGAUUAGAUACCCGUGUAGUC
rnacentral:rRNA from 1 species